UCCUACGGGAGGCAGCAGUGGGGAAUUUUGGACAAUGGGCGAAAGCCUGAUCCAGCAAUGCCGCGUGUGUGAAGAAGGCCUUGGUUGUAAGCACUUUUGUUCCGGAAAGAUAAUGACGGUACCGCAAGAAUAAGCCCCGGCUAACUUCGUGCCAGCAGCCGCGGUA
rnacentral:rRNA from 1 species